CUAAACACAUGAUUAUCAACAACGAUAAAAUCAAAUGUUCCAUGGCUAUCCCUUUGCCUCUUUUGAAGAGUGAGGCACACUCUUUGCUGCUGCUGCAAGUGGGUGUUCAACAAGAAAUCUUAAAAUGCAUCAAAAACAUGUUUCAAUGUCUAAUUUCAAUCAUGAUGAACGGACUCUCCUCUCUUUAAAUGGAUCAACAAGAAUUCAGAUGCAAUCAGAACACGAGUGGAGUUCACCCUUCGGUAAUAUUCCUUCACAAGCAAGCAAGAGUGGUCCAUCAUAAAUCAAAUUUGAGAAGGAUACCAUGUGGCCCUCUCUCAUGACAGAUAUUAACCAGGUUAACAACAAUUUUGAUAGUAGAAGGCAAGUUUUUCACCAUUUACCAUCUCAACUCUAUUUAUACCUAUGAUUGGA